rnacentral:rRNA from 1 species
AUUGAACGCUGGCGGCAGGCCUAACACAUGCAAGUCGAACGAGUGGCGGACGGGUGAGUAAGGUAUGGGAAACUGCCUGAUGGAGGGGGAUAACUACUGGAAACGGUAGCUAAUACCGCAUACCAUCGGAUGUGCCCAGAUGGGAUUAGCUACUAGGUGGGGUAAAGGCUCACCUAGGCGACGAUCCCUCGCUGGUCUGAGAGGAUGAACAGCCACACUGGAACUGAGACACGGUCCAGACUCCUACGGGAGGCAGCAGUGGGGAAUAUUGCACAAUGGGCGCAAGCCUGAUGCAGCCAUGCCGCGUGUAUGAAGAAGGCCUUCGGGUUGUAAAGUACUUUCAGCGGGGAGGCGUUAACGAAAGAAGAAGCACCGGCUAACUCCGUGCCAGCAGCCGCGGUAAUAG